CGGAAUAGCUCCGGGAAACUGGAAUUAAUACCGCAUACGCCCUACGGGGGAAAGAUUUAUCGGGGAAGGAUUGGCCCGCGUUGGAUUAGCUAGUUGGUGGGGUAAAGGCCUACCAAGGCGACGAUCCAUAGCUGGUCUGAGAGGAUGAUCAGCCACAUUGGGACUGAGACACGGCCCAAACUCCUACGGGAGGCAGCAGUGGGGAAUAUUGGACAAUGGGCGCAAGCCUGAUCCAGCCAUGCCGCGUGAGUGAUGAAGGCCUUAGGGUUGUAAAGCUCUUUCACCGGAGAAGAUAAUGACGGUAUCCGGAGAAGAAGCCCCGGCUAACUUCGUGCCAGCAGCCGCGGUAAUACGAAGGGGGCUAGCGUUGUUCGGAAUUACUGGGCGUAAAGCGCACGUAGGCGGAUAUUUAAGUCAGGGGUGAAAUCCCAGAGCUCAACUCUGGAACUGCCUUUGAUACUGGGUAUCUUGAGUAUGGAAGAGGUAAGUGGAAUUCCGAGUGUAGAGGUGAAAUUCGUAGAUAUUCGGAGGAACACCAGUGGCGAAGGCGGCUUACUGGUCCAUUACUGACGC
rnacentral:rRNA from 1 species